UGCGCAGGCGGGACUGCAAGUUGGAUGUGAAAUACCGAGGCUUAACCUCGGAACUGCAUCCAAAACUGUGGUUCUUGAGUGGAGUAGAGGUAAGCGGAAUUCCGAGUGUAGCGGUGAAAUGCGUAGAUAUUCGGAGGAACACCAGUGGCGAAGGCGGCUUACUGGGCUCUAACUGACGCUGAGGCACGAAAGUGUGGGUAGCAAACA
rnacentral:rRNA from 1 species